UGUGGUUUAAUUCGAAGCAACGCGAAGAACCUUACCAGGUCUUGACAUCCUCUGACAAUCCUAGAGAUAGGACGUCCCCUUCGGGGGCAGAGUGACAGGUGGUGCAUGGUUGUCGUCAGCUCGUGUCGUGAGAUGUUGGGUUAAGUCCCGCAACGAGCGCAACCCUUGAUCUUAGUUGCCAGCAUUCAGUUGGGCACUCUAAGGUGACUGCCGGUGACAAACCGGAGGAAGGUGGGGAUGACGUCAAAUCAUCAUGCCCCUUAUGACCUGGGCUACACACGUGCUACAAUGGACAGAACAAAGGGCAGCGAAACCGCGAGGUUAAGCCAAUCCCACAAAUCUGUUCUCAGUUCGGAUCGCAGUCUGCAACUCGACUGCGUGAAGCUGGAAUCGCUAGUAAUCGCGGAUCAGCAUGCCGCGGUGAAUACGUUCCCGGGCCUUGUACACACCGCCCGUCACACCACGAGAGUUUGUAACACCCGA
rnacentral:rRNA from 1 species